rnacentral:rRNA from 1 species
UACAGAGGGGGCAAGCGUUAUUCGGAAUUAUUGGGCGUAAAGGGCGCGUAGGCGGCUUGGCAAGUGGAUGGUGAAAUCCCUCGGCUUAACCGAGGAACUGCCGUCCAAACUGCUUCGCUUGAGACCGGGAGAGGUGAGUGGAAUUCCCAGUGUAGCGGUGAAAUGCGUAGAUAUUGGGAGGAACACCAGUGGCGAAGGCGGCUCACUGGACCGGUACUGACGCUGAUGCGCGAAAGCGUGGGGAGCAACGGGAUAGA